rnacentral:rRNA from 1 species
AUUGAACGCUGGCGGCAGGCCUAACACAUGCAAGUCGAGCGGAUGAAGGGAGCUUGCUCCUGGAUUCAGCGGCGGACGGGUGAGUAAUGCCUAGGAAUCUGCCUGGUAGUGGGGGAUAACGUCCGGAAACGGGCGCUAAUACCGCAUACGUCCUGAGGGAGAAAGUGGGGGAUUUUCGGACCUCACGCUAUCAGAUGAGCCUAGGUCGGAUUAGCUAGUUGGUGGGGUAAAGGCCUACCAAGGCGACGAUCCGUAACUGGUCUGAGAGGAUGAUCAGUCACACUGGAACUGAGACACGGUCCAGACUCCUACGGGAGGCAGCAGUGGGGAAUAUUGGACAAUGGGCGAAAGCCUGAUCCAGCCAUGCCGCGUGUGUGAAGAAGGUCUUCGGAUUGUAAAGCACUUUAAGUUGGGAGGAAGGGCAGUAAGUUAAUACCUUGCUGUUUUGACGUUACCAACAGAAUAAGCACCGGCUAACUUCG